rnacentral:rRNA from 1 species
UACGUAGGGGGCAAGCGUUGUCCGGAAUCACUGGGCGUAAAGCGCGCGCAGGCGGCGAUCUACGUCCGGGGUGAAAGCCCAGAGCUCAACUCUGGGACUGCCUUGGAUACGGGAUCGCUUGAGGAUCGGAGAGGCAAGGGGAAUUCCCAGUGUAGAGGUGAAAUUCGUAGAUAUUGGGAAGAACACCGGUGGCGAAGGCGGCUCACUGGCUCGUAACUGACGCUCAGGCGCGACAGCGUGGGGAUCAAACAGG